rnacentral:rRNA from 1 species
UACGGGGGGGGCAAGCGUUGUUCGGAAUUACUGGGCGUAAAGGGCUCGUAGGCGGCCAACUAAGUCAGACGUGAAAUCCCUCGGCUUAACCGGGGAACUGCGUCUGAUACUGGAUGGCUUGAGGUUGGGAGAGGGAUGCGGAAUUCCAGGUGUAGCGGUGAAAUGCGUAGAUAUCUGGAGGAACACCGGUGGCGAAGGCGGCAUCCUGGACCGGCAUUGACGCUGAGGCGCGAAGGCCAGGGGAGCAAACGGG